ensembl:lncRNA ERVK13-1 endogenous retrovirus group K13 member 1
AGCGUGAGGGCCGCCGUUGCUGGAGUUCAGCUUAGGGAAGGAGGACUCUGAGGAGGCCCCGAGCGGCGGAGCGCUUCGGGGGAGGCGCCCGCGCAGACGCGAGGCCCAUAGCCAGGACCACCACCUAGCUGAUUCUUGAUGACAUUGGUCGGGAAAACUCGCCUUUCACGGCCCGGCCAAGGGGCAUUUGGGUGCUUUUGCUGCCCGUGGCUGUGCUCAGCGUUGUGGGAAGCCCCUGGGAGGCCGAAUGUGCAGGAUCACCGAGGGGAAAGUGAGCUUGACAGUUCUACAGUCUGGGGACGACGGUUUAAAAAUUUAUGCCUUGCAUGCGAUGUGCAGUGGGUGAUGGAAGAACGUCUACAUGGCUUUAAAAUUGGAUUUAAAAGGCAAAUAUUUUAAAUGAAGGAAAACCCAAGAAGUUUACUUGAUUCCUUAUCUUCCAGGAUGCGACUUUUGUUUAUUUAUUUAUUUUAUUUUGAUGGAGUCUCGCUGCCGUCGCGCAGGCUGGAGUGCAGUGACGCGAUCUUGACCCGGGAACCUCCACCUCCCGGGUUCAAGCGAUUCUCCUUCCUCAACCACCCGAGUAGCUGGGAUUACAGGCGUGUGCCACCAUGCCCGGCUAAUUUUUGUGUUUUUAGUAGAGACCGGGGAAGGUAUGGGCCCUCUUUUGAGAAAAAUGCAGAGUGACACUGAAUUUUGUAACUACAUCAGGAGGCUCUUGAACCUUCUGCAGCUCACUCGUGGAGUUUGUAGAGAUGCGUAAUAAUCCGAAGUGUUAAGGAAGAAGGUUCUGUUGAGAAAAAGUUGGAGGGCUGAAAGGGAUGCCUUUCGCUAUUUCGACAUGUGUGGCUGUACCCCAGAGUGCCCUGGCUAACACGCAAAACCAUGAAUUAGGCGGCUUGGCGAGGCUCAGUGGAGGCUGGGGCCGAGAGUCAUGUCAAAGUUUGUGGGGUUAACCUGCACCCAGUGACAGUCAUGGCGAAGUUUGUGAGGUUAACUCGCACCCAGUAACGCUGUUCCAAUGCAAGGUGUGUAUUUGGUGUCAUCCACGGGAAGAGGAAACAGCAAAUUUUCUCAUGGCCUUGGCAGUUCCACAUGAUGGACAUUUCAUAUCUGCAGUUUUCUUCGCAUGAGAUGGCUUUUUUGCACAAAAACACUGGAAUCCAGUGAGCAAGAAUGAUAGAAUGCAAGAUGGAUUUCCACAUGAGGAAGUGUCACGAACAAGCGUUUUGCAUCUCUGUCAGCUGGAUUCCCCCAUGUGUACGUAUGUGAGAACAUGCCGUGUUUCCUGUCUGUAAUGGUAGAGGCAGCCCUGAUACUGGAUUUUCACCUGAGGAUGGAUAGAUCUUCAGGGUUCAAGUGGGUUUGCAUCUGGACUUUAGGGUGGCCCUGUAGGCCCUGUGUGAGAAGCCCCCUUCCCAGUGAACUUUCCCUUGUGUGCCCGCGUGGACAGCCAACAGGGGGAGCAGUGCGAGCGUGAAGGCAGACAGUGGCCUGGCCCAGUCUGAUGGUAAGUGGGCCAGAGGCAGUGAGUACCAUUUCUUGAUCUGACUACUCAAGACAGGCGCUUCCCUAGGUACUUUCACACCUCAUUGCGAGGUACGUGUUGUUCCCAUUUUACAGGUGCAGAAGCUGAGCUGCAGAGGCGUUAGGUACCUGCCUCAUAAGUGGUAGAGACUCCAGUGUCACCCUGCCCCUCACGUUCGGAGCCCCCGAGGGAGGGUCUGCCGGGCAGCUCAGCCCAGCACUCUGUAAGGAAAUCUUCAGUGCCACUGCCCAGGAUGUCUUCCCGGGGAUUGGGCCUGAAUGUCUUGACCAUGCCGUGCUGGAGGUAGGAGGGGUGUCUUCAUAUGGAAGAACUGUACAUAUUUCUUUGGCAGAUGGCUGAACUCUGUGACCCCGGGGCCUGUUUCAGCCUCCUGCUGUCAGAAAGCAGCUGUUUGGGAAGAGGCUGUGAUUCGGCCUUGUUUGAGGGCCGAUACUCUGAAUGGGUGAGGCUUGGAAUCCUCCCUUUGGAACAAAGAAACAUAAUGAUUUUGCUGAAGGUAGAAUUGGGGGACUAGGCAGAGUGGCCUCCUGCCCUCCCUGGGGUGGUUCUGUCUUUUGCAAAGGUGGCUGCAUCCUUAGGGGAAGGUGAGGGGAGAAGCAGGGAGCAUGGAGAGAAGUGGCUUUCGAUUUUCUCUCUCCUUUUGGGGAGUUCCUCCUUAUGUGGCUGGUCUGGUGCAUAGUGUGAUGUAUUCCUGUACGCAACGUUGCCCUGACAGCCAGUCCAAGCUGAGUCUAGAGCUGGCAAGGUGAGCUCCCAGUAGUAAGAGGGUGUGGGCGGCAAGCCACCCAGGCACCGAGGCAAGAGACAGAGGACACGAGCUGUUCCAGUAUAAUAAAAUAUAAAACAAGAAUAGUUAUACCAGAUAUAGAUCUUAGAUAUGAUUAUAUAUGAAUAUCAUUAAUCAUGAGUUUGCAGCAAUUACUUUUUAUUCCAAUAUUAUGAUAAUCCUCGCUCUAUAAUCAUAGCCUAGGAAAAACCAGGCCAUACAGAGGAGCUGAGGGGACAUAGUGAGGUGUGACCAGAAGACAAGAGUGCGAGGCUUCUGUUAUGCCCGGACAGGGCCACAAGAGGGCUCCUUGGUCUAGCGGUGACGCCAGCGUCUGGGAAGACGCCCGUUACCCGGCGGAUCGUGGCCCAGUGGUAGCAAAAGGUGUCAAGGAACAACACUCACUACUUAGCAGACCGGGAAAGGGGCGGGGGGGGGGUCUCCCUUUCCCCGGGGGAGUUUAGAAAAGACUCUGCUCCUCCACCUCUUGUGGAGGGCCUGACAUCAGUCAGGCUUGCCCGUAGUUAUCCGGAGGCCUAACUGUCUCCCUGUGAUGCUGUGCUUCAGUGGUCACACUCCUUGUCUGCCUUCAUGUUCCAUCCUGUACACCUGGCUCUGCCUUCUAGAUAGCAGUAGUAAAUUAGUGAAAAUACUAAUAGUCCCUGAUAUGCAGAAAUAAUGGUAUAAGCUGUCUUUCUCUCUGUCUCCUCUCCCUCUCUGCCUCGGCUGCCAGGCAGGGAAGGGCCCCCUGUCCAGUGGACACGUGACCCACGUGACCUUACCUAUCAUUGGAGGUGACUCACAUUCUUUACCCUGCCCCUUCUGUCUUGUAUCCGAUAAAUAACAGCGCAGUCAGACAUUCGGGGCCACUACCGGUCUCCGCGCAUUGGUGGUAGUGGUCCCCCGGGCCCAGCUGCCUUUUCUCUUAUCUCUCUGUCUUGUGUCUUUAUUUCUACACUCUCUCAUCGCCACACACAGGGAGAGACCCACCGACCCUGUGGGGCUGGUCCCUACAUCUGGCGCUCUGACGUGGGGCUCUCCCUCGCUGUGUGAAGUUGCACCCUGAGUGCGGGAUCAGCGGAGGAGUUCAACGAGAGAUUCCUGAGGAUUGCAGUCUAUAAACUUGGUGCAGGCGGCUGACCCCGCAGCUCAACAAGAUCAAGAGGCUGAUAAUCAAGCCCCUCAGCCCGAAACUCAGGCUGCUCAGGAAAAGAACUACAGCCUGUGUGGGUCCCCUCCCGACAAUUAAAAUUGCACCAUAACUCCAAAGAUGAAACGCUCCCAGAAAGAAAAGGCAAAGACCCAUCGGAAACAAAAGAGCAACUUUCACCGCCUGAUACAUACACUUCAUGACAUCCACAUUGAGACAAAAUCUCGCCGUGUGACCUACAACACCUCUCGUUCAACCCCACCUACUUGGGGUCGAAUACAGAUUUUAUCUCAUCAAACAGAAAAAUUCUUAACAGAAAAAGGAAUCCCAAAAAUGACUGGUAAUAUAAUUCUGGCUGCCUUUAUGGUAGUCAGUGCAGCGUCUGCAGAUGCCUCUAAGGAGUCCGAAACCAAGUCCGAAGUCAACAACAAGCAAUGAUGGCGAUGGCGAUUCUAGUUAAUAAAAAGGGGGGAGAUGUGGGCGGCAAGCCACCCAGGCACCGAGGCAAGAGACAGAGGACACGAGCUGUUCCAGUAUAAUAAAAUAUAAAACAAGAAUAGUUAUACCAGAUAUAGAUCUUAGAUAUGAUUAUAUACGAAUAUCAUUAAUCAUGAGUUUGUAGCAAUUACUUUUUAUUCCAAUAUUAUGAUAAUCCUCGCUCUAUAAUCAUAGCCUAGGAAAAACCAGGCCAUACAGAGAUAGGAGCUGAGGGGACAUAGUGAAGUGUGACCAGAAGACAAGAGUGCGAGCCUUCUGUUAUGCCCGGACAGGGCCACCAGAGGGCUCCUUGGUCUAGCGGUGACGCCAGCGUCUGGGAAGACACCCGUUACCAGGCGGAUCGUGGCCCAGCCGUAGCAAAAGGUGUCAAGGAACACCUUUUGCAAAAGGUGUCAACACCCGCUACUUAGCAGACUGGGAAAGGGGGGCGGUCUCCCUUUCCCCGGGGGAGUUUAGAGAAGACUCUGUUCCUCCACCUCUUGUGGAGGGCCUGACAUCAGUCAGGCUUGCCCGUAGUUAUCCGGAGGCCUAACUGUCUCCCUGUGAUGCUGUGCUUCAGUGGUCACGCUCCUAGUCUGCCUUCAUUUUCCAUCCUGUACACCUGGCUCUGCCUUCUAGAUAGCAGUAGUAAAUUAGUGAAAAUACUAAUAGUCCCUGAUAUGCAGAAAUAA